GGUUGUCGUCAGCUCGUGUCGUGAGAUGUUGGUUAAGUCCCGCAACGAGCGCAACCCUCGACCUUAGUUGCCAGCAUUCAGUUGGGCACUCUAAGGUGACUGCCGGCUAAAAGUCGGAGGAAGGUGGGGAUGACGUCAAAUCAUUAUGCCCCUUAUGACCUGGGCUACACACGUGCUACAAUGGGCGGUACAAAGGGUCGCGAACCCGCGAGGGGGAGCCAAUCCCAAAAAGCCGCUCUCAGUUCGGAUUGCAGGCUGCAACUCGCCUGCAUGAAGCCGGAAUCGCUAGUAAUCGCGGAUCAGCAUGCCGCGGUCGAAUACGUUCCCGGGCCUU
rnacentral:rRNA from 1 species